GCCCGCCUUUUGUUGUGCUCAGUCGCUCAAGGGAAUAAGGUGAUUCUUUAUUGCGUCCUUGGUACCUCCGAUUGGAGUAUUAACUAUUAAGAAGCCGCCUGGAUCAAUCGGGAAUGUGUGAAACGAUGGGGAUUGUUGCCAUAUAUUCUACCUAGUACUUUCCAAAUGCAGAAGCAAAAUUUGUUUAUGAAAUCAAUUCGUAUUACGUGUAGGUAAAGGAUGAUACCUAGCUCAUUAGGUUGGUGAUACUGGCUGCUCAUUGGUUCGUGCGUUUUGGAUGUGCUAUGCAUCAUGCGUGGUAUUAAAAGGCUAUGCAGUGGAUUAGCUUAAUCCUUGAAGAGGUAUUUGGUAUUUGCAUAUCCAUGGUGGAGAUGAUCUCACGAUCAUAUAUGUAUUGCCAUAUUUCUGAGGUAGUAG
rnacentral:lncRNA from 1 species